rnacentral:lncRNA from 1 species
CUACAGCCCCCAUCUUAAUCCAUCUGGACCCGUCCCGUCAGUUCGUGGUGGAAGUAGACGCAUCAGACGUCAGAGUGGGGGCUGUCCUGUCCCUGUGUUCUGCCCAGGACCAGAAGCUGCAUCCCUGCGCCUUCCUUUCCCAUCGUCUUAACCCCGCUGAGAUGAACUAUGAUGUGACAAAUCGCAAAUUACUCGCUGUCAAGAUGGCAUUAGAGGAGUCGAGGCACUGGUUAGAAGGGGCGGAACAGCCAUUCUUGGUGUGGAUGGACCAUAAGAACCUGGAAUGUCUCUGCAACGCCAAGAGUCUCAACUCCAGGCAGGCCCACCCCUCUCCCCCCUUCUCAUUGACGGCCAUCCGGCAUACACUGUGAGGCUCUCCUGAGUGUUUGACCUCAGGGCAGGGGAUUCCUGUACCUGGUUGACUGGGAGGGUUAUGGCCCGGAGGAGAGGUGCUGGGUCCCCGCUAGGAACAUCCUGGACCCAGCCCUCAUCGCUGAGUUCUGCCGCCGGCACCCCGUUCAACCAGUGAUCCUGCCUGCCGUCCUGUACCUGCCCGACUCUGAUUUGGAUUACGACUCUUUGCCUGCCUUGACCUACUGAUUGCCUCCCGUCCUGUACCUGCCUGGCUCUGAUUUGGAUUACACCCCUCUGCCUGCCUUGAUUUACCUUUUGCCUGCCCUUUGAACUAUAAUAAACUCUGAGACUUGUACAAUCUGCCUCCUGUGUCUGCAUCUGGGUCUUAGCCUGAGCCCUGAUAUGGGCAGAGUUAUAUAGAAAACGGAUUGGUCUACUCCAGCUUAAAGUGACGAGGUAGAUGCUGGCUACGCAAAGAAGAAAUCCAAAAG